UGGAGCUUUUAAUCCCAUGAUUCAUUAUUACGGGUCACGCAGCUUAGUGCCUCUUCUCUGAUAUUUCAGUUCUGCUGCAUGACCAUGAGAAUAAACAUCGACUGCAACGGAUGCUAUCGAAAGAUCAACAGAAUCCUUCUCCAAACGCAAGGACUGGAGAGCCAUUGGAUAGAGCAGAAGCAGUGCAUGGUGAGCGUGUGCGGGGUGUUCGUCCCGCAGGACAUGGCCAUCAGGUUGAGGAAGAAGACCAAUCGACGAGUCGAGAUCUUGGAGAUCAAGGAGGUGGACAUCAGCAACGAUGGCAGCAUAACUCAGAAGCCUCCAUGACCAAAAUUGAUCCAUAUCUGUAUCAUGAGCAGUCCACUCCAUGCAAAGAUUGAUGAUGACAGUAGAUUUCACGUUGUAAUAGGCCAAUAGAAGAUCUAUCACUUGAUAUGUGUAUGGAAACCACUUGAAACAAGCUCCAAA